rnacentral:rRNA from 1 species
GGAGGAAAAGAAACCAACAGGGAUUGCCUCAGUAACGGCGAGUGAAGCGGCAACAGCUCAAAUUUGAAAUCUGGCCUCUUUGGGGUCCGAGUUGUAAUUUGUAGAGGAUGUUUCGGGUACCGCCUCGGUCUAAAUUUCUUGGAACAGAAUGUCAGAGAGGGUGAGAAUCCCGUCUUGGACCGGCGGUAGGGCCCAUGUGAAACUCCUUCGACGAGUCGAGUUGUUUGGGAAUGCAGCUCAAAAUGGGUGGUAAAUUUCAUCUAAAGCUAAAUAUUGGCCAGAGACCGAUAGCGCACAAGUAGAGUGAUCGAAAGAUGAAAAGCACUUUGAAAAGAGAGUUAAACAGUAUGUGAAAUUGUUGAAAGGGAAGCGCUUGCAACCAGACUUGAGCGCCGGCGGUUCCCCUUCCUUUUGGUUGGGUUACUCCGCCGUGUCCAGGCCAGCAUCGGUUCUGGGGGUCGGUCAAAGGCUUUGGGAAUGUACCUCUUCGGGAGUGUUAUAGCCCAGAGUGUCAUGCGGCCUCCCGGGACCGAGGAACGCGCUUCGGCUCGGAUGUUGGCGUAAUGGUUGUCAGCGACCCGUCUUGAAACACGGACCAAGGAGUCUAACAUCUAUGCGAGUGUUUGGGUGUCAAACCCGGACGCGAAAUGAAAGUGAACGGAGGUGGGAAGCCGUGAGGCUGCACCAUCGACCGAUCCUGAUGUCUUCGGAUGGAUUUGAGUAAGAGCAUAGCUGUUGGGACCCGAAAGAUGGUGAACUAUGCCUGAAUAGGGUGAAGCCAGAGGAAACUCUGGUGGAGGCUCGCAGCGGUUCUGACGUGCAAAUCGAUCGUCAAAUUUGGGUAUAGGGGCGAAAGACUAAUCGAACC